rnacentral:rRNA from 1 species
AGUGAACGCUGGCGGUAGGCCUAACACAUGCCAGUCGAACGGCAGCACAGUAAGAGCUUGCUCUUACGGGUGGCGAGUGGCGGACGGGUGAGGAAUACAUCGGAAUCUACUUUUUCGUGGGGGAUAACGUAGGGAAACUUACGCUAAAACCGCAUACGACCUACGGGUGAAAGCAGGGGAUCUUCGGACCUUGCGCGAUUGAAUGAGCCGAUGUCGGAUUAGCUAGUUGGCGGGGUAAAGGCCCACCAAGGCGACGAUCCGUAGCUGGUCUGAGAGGAUGAUCAGCCACACUGGAACUGAGACACGGUCCAGACUCCUACGGGAGGCAGCAGUGGGGAAUAUUGGACAAUGGGCGCAAGCCUGAUCCAGCCAUACCGCGUGGGUGAAGAAGGCCUUCGGGUUGUAAAGCCCUUUUGUUGGGAAAGAAAAGCAGCAGGUUAAUACCCCGCUGUUCUGACGGUACCCAAAGAAUAAGCACCGGCUAACUUCGUG